GGUGAACGCUAGCGGCAGGCCUAAUACAUGCAAGUCGAACGGGAUUGCGGUAGUAGCUUGCUACUACUGCAUGAGAGUGGCGCACGGGUGCGUAACGCGUGAGCAACCUACCCUUGUUAGGGGGAUAGCCCGGAGAAAUCCGGAUUAACACCGCAUGACACCAUUGGUUGGCAUCAGCUGAUGGUCAAAUAUUCAUAGGACAAGGAUGGGCUCGCGUGACAUUAGCUAGUUGGUAAGGUAACGGCUUACCAAGGCAGUGAUGUCUAGGUGCUCGGAGAGGAGAAUCCCCCACACUGGGACUGAGGCACGGACCAGACUCCUACGGGAGGCAGCAGUAAAGAAUAUUGGUCAAUGGAGGCAACUCUGAACCAGCCAUGCCGCGUGAAGGAAGACUGCCCUACGGGUUGUAAACUGCUUUUGUACGGGAACAAACCCCUCUACGUGUAGGGGGCUGAGUGUACCGUAAGAAUAAGGAUCGGCUAACUCCGUGCCAGCAGCCGCAGUAAGAC
rnacentral:rRNA from 1 species